UACGGAGGGUGCAAGCGUUGCUCGGAAUCAUUGGGCGUAAAGCGCGUGUAGGCGGCCAACUAAGUCUGAUGUGAAAUCCCAGGGCUCAACCCUGGAACUGCAUCGGAUACUGGAUGGCUAGAGGAUGAGAGAGGAUGGUGGAAUUCCUGGUGUAGCGGUGAAAUGCGCAGAUAUCAGGAGGAACACCGGUGGCGAAGGCGGGUCUCUGGGCCGAUACUGACGCUGAGGAGCGAAAGCGUGGGGAGCGAACAGG
rnacentral:rRNA from 1 species